GGGGCUGUAGCUCAGUGGUAUAGCGCCGCUUCACAUGUGUGAGGCACUGGGUUCAAUCCUCAGCACCACA
rnacentral:tRNA from 1 species